AUAGAUAGAAGUUGGGUAAUCAUGAUACUACAUGAUGCUAGGACCCCUCCCCCUGCCAGGAAUUCCCUAAACAGAACACCAUGAUGUGAAAGUUGGCUCCCAAAGGCCAACUUGGCUACAAAGAGAGACUCUCUUUCUCUACUCAAGGAGGUGUUUCUCAUAGUCUGAUCCAAUGAAUACCUGCUUAGUAACUGUCACUGUUGAAGAAGUAGAUUCAUGAGUCUUAUCCCAGGCCUAAUGAAUCAGAAUAUCUGGAAUGUGUGGGAAGCUGACUCAAGCAUAUGCAUCUUUUAAAAACUCAGAUUGUUCUUCUGCCCCGAAAUCUUGAGAACCACUGACUUAUGUGGUCAGAAGUGAUCGACUCCCUGGGCUGGGAAGCUCCAAUUUUCUCCUCCAGAUUUCCUGUGUCGCCCUCUCCUCCCUGUCCUCUGCCCCAUUAGGGAGGAUGCAUGGAUUCCUUCAGCAAGCUCUUUGUCCUUCGGUUUCCAGAGACAGACACGCAGAGGGACAAUGAAGAAACACAAAGAGAAGAUGGCUGUCUAUAAGUCAAAGUGAGAGUUCUGGACCGGAUUCUUCCCUCAGAGCCCUCGAAAGUAACCAAUCCCACCAGCAACUUGAUUUUGGACUUCUCAUCUCCAGAACUGUGAGACAAUUAAUUUCUGUUCUUUAAGUCACCCAGUUUGUGAUACUUUGUUACAACAGACCCAGCAAGCUAAUGUAUCAAACAUAUUAAAAAUCUUUAAGGCAUACUCUUGUGGUAUCCUAAGGUGAUGGUUCUUAAUUAUGACAUCUCAACACACUGGUGUGUGAGAGCAGUGUGGGAGGUUUAUUAUACAUCAUUGUUCUCACUAUUAAUAGUUACAGUAAGAAUAUACCUUUUAAGACUUUUUUGUCUUAUGUACAGGAAUUGGUUAAGAUUCUCUCCAUAAUAAAAUGCAUGACUCUCAUUCAUUUAAAUUUUGAUAUGUUUCCUUGAAAUUCAUAAAAUAGAAAGAUAGCUAACGUGCUUGGGACAAACCACCCUGGUUAGGCCUAGUAAAAUGUUUUUAGCACAUGUGAUUGCCAUCUGUCCUGUGGGGCUGGGAAAAAUAUUUGCAACUGCUCUCCAUAAGACCAACUAUUAAACUCUAACCGCUCUCACAAUAGACCCAUUUUGAAAGAAGCUGCCUCACCUGCAAUUCUAUUUUCUAAAUGAUUUGUAUGUUAGUCAGGACAUUAUUUCCCUCUUCCGUACUAUCAUUAUGGAAUUUGCACCAACACAGCUAUAUCUACUUGAUUUUUACUAGGAUGCAAUAGUCAAAAAAGGAGACACUUAUCCCAACCAUUACUACAUAACCAUAUUAGA
rnacentral:lncRNA from 10 species